rnacentral:rRNA from 1 species
GACGAACGCUGGCGGCGUGCUUAACACAUGCAAGUCGAACGAUGAAGCCGGAGCUUGCUCUGGUGAAUUAGUGGCGAACGGGUGAGUAACACGUGAGUAACCUGCCCUUGACUCUGGGAUAACUGCGGGAAACUGUAGCUAAUACCGGAUACGACCCUCGGAGGCAUCUCCUGGGGGUGGAAAGAAUUUCGGUCAAGGAUGGACUCGCGGCCUAUCAGCUAGUUGGUGCGGUGAAGGCUCACCAAGGCGACGACGGGUAGCCGGCCUGAGAGGGUGACCGGCCACACUGGGACUGAGACACGGCCCAGACUCCUACGGGAGGCAGCAGUGGGGAAUAUUGCACAAUGGGCGCAAGCCUGAUGCAGCAACGCCGCGUGAGGGAUGACGGCCUUCGGGUUGUAAACCUCUUUUAGCAGGGAAGAAGCGAAAGUGACGGUACCUGCAGAAAAAGCACCGGCUAAAUACGUGCCAGCCGCCGCAGUAA